ensembl:lncRNA
CUUCAUAAAGCAAGUUGUAUCAACGUAUGUCGUCAGUAGUGCAGUCUGCAAAUAAAACUGCACAUCCGCCUCAACAUCUUGUGCCGUGCCGGCACAGGCAAACGUCCAGAGCUGUUUCUAACACAGGGGAGCCAAGCCAGAGCUCCAAGGGGUGCCAAGGUGCCAAGGGGUGCCACCCCAGAGCCAAGCCAGGAGUGAAAGGAGAGAUGAAUGAGACGCAUUACAUCAGGAAGAUUCUGCUGUUUCUCUUAAGCAUGAGCUGAGUUGCACAAUAACGAGGAAGAAGCUGCCAACUAAACCUAUAAACUUAAUCUUCCAUUCUCCUUUCUUGCCAGCUGGUGUUACAUUGCCGAGAGACCAGAGCAACGUCGAAAUCUUAAGAUGAGCCACCUGUCGUGAGCUCUGGAAGGCUCUGGUGGGCUACUGAUAGUUCAUGAUUUGGGUGGAGAUGUUUCUCUCCAAGCUGUUAUGUGAUGUGUGGGAUGGCUCAUGCAUCACCUUCCUGCAAAUGAGUCUUCCAGGGAAAGGCUGCAAAGAAAACAGCAGAGAAAAUGAAUGUAAGCAGUCACCUCUCAGAAGCUGUGGUGAGAUGACUUGGGGUGUCCCAGUCUGAAGUCCUCAGUACAGGGUAGAUGCGGACCUGUUGGAGCACAUCCAGAGGAGAGCUACAAAACUGAUCCAAGGGGUGGAACACCUCCCCUCUGAGGACGGGCUGAGAGAGCUGGGGCUAUUCAGCCUGGUGAAGAGAAGGCUCUGGGGAGACUUUAGACAGGCCUUUCAGUAGGGCUAUAUGAAGGAAGGGGACAGACUCUUUAGCAGGGCGUGUGGUGAUAAGACAAAGGGAAAUGGCUUCAAACUAAAAGAACGGAGAUUUCGAUUGGAUAUAAGGAAGACAUUUUUUACCAUAAGAGUAAUGAGGCACUGGAAGAGGGUGCUGAGAGAUGUGAUGGAAGCUCACUCCCUGGGACAUUCAAGAUCAGGCUGCACAGGGCUCUGGACAACCUGAUCUGUCUGUGGCGUCUCUGUUCAUUGCAGGGGAGUUGGACUAGAUGGCCUUUAAAGUUCUCUUCCAAUUCAAAGGAUUCUAUGAUCUUGUUGGCUGUGAAUUUCAGUGGCUUUUGAAUUCAACUCUGGAAAGUGACAAAGGUAGAGAAAUCACACUCACUGGUAGUGACCUUUCAGCCUGCACAUGCUUUUGUUGGAGUGCCAGUGUGACUUAGCCCAGUUACUGCUGUAAUAUGAUUAAAAUUGCUGGCUUUUAAAUGCAAAGAAAGAGUUUACACAGCCAUUAUUAAAAUACAGUGUUUCUGCUAUGACAUGUAAAACAGAACAGCAUAAAUAGAUAUUGCCACAUGCUGCAAACAUAGAAGGUGGGAGCUUUCUGUGACGAACCUCGAUCCGUCAGGGCCGUGCUGCAGAGGCUUUCAUGCCCUGAGUGAAGGACAAGAAUAUCCUAUGGCAUCCUGCUGGACAUCAUUCACUGGGUUAUCUGUGAUUUCACCAGACAUCAGGCAUUAUUUGAGCUCAGACUUUCUCUUUUUUGCAAUUCUUGAAGGUUAUGGCACUAAGUCUAUUUUCAGCAGUUUGUACAGUGCUUUGUUUUAAUGAGGCUUAACAUGAAACGUCAUGCUGACUGCAGCCUGCAUUUCAUAGAAUCAUAGAAUGGCCUGGGUUGAAAAGGACCACAAUGAUCAUCGAGUUUCAACCCCCUGCUGUGUGCAGGGUUGCCAACCACCAGACCAGGCUGCCCAGAGCCACAUCCAGCCUGGCCUUGAAUGCCUCCAGGGAUGGGGCAUCCACAACCUCCUUGGGCAACCUGUUCCAGUGUUCCAUUUCAUGAGGACAGCACACUAAACUUCUGUCCUUUUUAGACUGAAAACAAAGAGGACAUAUGUUAAAUGUGAUUGAUACAAAACAGUGUGUAUACAUGUGGAAAACAGGGAGAAAAUAAAGUGGAUAAAUAAAAACAGAAGACUGCUGUCAGGGCAAGAAUUACAGCUACAGCUUGUCUCCAGAAUCAGCAUCUCAGGACUUUGUUGAGGAAUACAGUCAGCAGGACCACAGCAGUUGGGGUUGUUGUUGUUGGAUUUGAAAUACAAGACUCAUCAGUGUAUUCAUUUCUCAUUGCACUGUUAUAUACUUAGUGGUUAGUAAAGCAUUUACCUCUGCUUUGAAUGUCAGGAUACAACCGCUGUGUUACUGGAAAUAUAUGUGAAGUACUUGGCAAAAUGGAUAGAACUUAAGGGUCUGCAGAUGUUUGCUUUAGGGAAGCACAUCUGAAAUGUAGUAAAUGCCCAGGAAUCUCAGCAGAUCACCCUGCAACAGUAGUGCUGAGCACAAUGUAAUGACGGGGCUUCUGAAGAGGUGCCAGGGGGAGUGUCUGCAGUUUGGGGUGGUGGCAAGGAAUGGAGUGGGUUAGGGUGGCGAGUGUACAUGAAGACACAGUUGAUGUUUUAACGAGGAAAAUACACCAUCCAAAGUGUGUUUGGAUAUUUCAUACCAUUACAUAAGGGUGCAAGAAGAGGAGUGGAAGGCAGUGGGGAGAGGUGAGAUGGGGCAGAAGGACUUCUCCUGGGCAGCUAUGCCCUUCUCCUGGGCAGCUGGGACCUACAUGCUAUGCUGGACAGGCUCUCAAAGAACACGAGGCAUCCCAUCAGAGAUGUGGGUUACGAAAGAAAAUGUGGUACAAAACAUCUUUUUGGCUCGAGUUUAACAUUAUGAACAAGAUUAUUCCUUUACUGUUUUACUGUUCAUCACCCAGACCUCCUCAAGUGUAUCCAACUUUCACCAGCUGGAGAAGCAGGGCUGAAGGACACACUCUUUCUUUUAAGUGACCUCCUCAAUACUGGAUGAAGGAUUUCACCACAGUUCUGCUGGUAGAGUGUCCUGUCCUGACUGAUACAAACAAUGUAAUUGUGGCUGGCCUGCAGGAUCAUUAUGCCUAAAAUUCAAAACAUGUCCUGGUUGUGCUCUCCUCCUUUUGUUAUAACAUUUUCCACGUGGCGUAACUCCAACCUGUUGUCCCCCACCCAGUAUGUUGUACAUCCAGCCAUUGUACUUUCUGUCAGAUCAGUGUUCUUUGGCACAGGAUCAGCCUUCUGAUGCCUGAUGUGAGCAGGCCUUUGCUACCCUGUGGGAUCCCAAACACUGUCCAUCUCCAGAGCACAAGUUGCUGUGCCCCGACUGCUACUCAGGUCAGGUCCUUUGGACUUGAGGCACACGCUGUGCUCUGGCUCAGUCUCUUAUGGGAACACUGGGGACACAGUGGUGCAGCCGUGCUGCAGAGCAGACCUGCCAUGAGUGAGCCAGACAGCAGCAGAGAACUUUUCCUGCACCCUCUGGACACAGCCUACUGAACGUGUGAAUGUAUUUCAGUAAGGGGUCUGCUUGCUGUAGACAGGUCUCAACGCAGAAGCCAAGUAAACAAACAUGUAACAAAUGAUUUGUCUUCAAAUAAGAACGUAAAGGAUUGUCCUUUCAGAAUUUUCGUCUAUAACCUGCAGACCUAAAAUGACUUUUCUUUCACCUUCAGAUAUGUGCGUAUGAUUUAAAGUCCUUGCAAGAAAUAGGAGCUGCUGAUCUGCAUCCCAGUACUGUUUUGAAGCCAUACCCUGCCACAGCAUUUUCUGCACCGCUCAUGAAAAGUAAUUUGUCAGGAAAUAUAUGGUCUUAUAUUGUUUAUUUUCACCUUUGGCACAGGACUUGGAAGUAAAAAUAAUUAUUCUCCAGACAGUUUAAUUAACUUAGUUCCUCUGCAGUUGUCUAUGUAUAGGUUUCAGAAUUCUUUAGAGAAUAAAAGAAAAUGUGUUGACAGCUCCU